rnacentral:rRNA from 1 species
UACGUAGGGUGCGAGCGUUGUCCGGAUUUAUUGGGUUUAAAGGGUGCGUAGGCGGCUUAUUAAGUCAGUGGUGAAAGCCCCAAGCUUAACUUGGGAACUGCCAUUGAUACUGAUGAGCUUGAGUAGAUUUGAGGCGGGCGGAAUGUGUCGUGUAGCGGUGAAAUGCUUAGAUAUGACACAGAACACCAAUUGCGUAGGCAGCUCGCUAAACUCUUACUGACGCUGAGGCACGAAAGCAUGGGGAUCAAACAGG